rnacentral:rRNA from 1 species
GUGAGGAAUAUUGGGCAAUGGGCGAAAGCCUGACCCAGCAACGCCGCGUGAGGGAAGAAGGCCUUCGGGUUGUAAACCUCUGUCCUUGGUGACGAAAAAAAUGACGGUAGCCAAGGAGGAAGCCCCGGCUAACUACGUGCCAGCAGCCGCGGUAAUACGUAGGGGGCGAGCGUUGUCCGGAAUUACUGGGCGUAAAGGGUGCGUAGGUGGCCUUUUAAGUUGGAUGUGAAAUACCCGGGCUUAACUUGGGGGGUGCAUCUAAUACUGGAGGGCUAGAGUGCAGGAGAGGGAAGCGGAAUUCCUAGUGUAGCGGUGAAAUGCGUAGAUAUUAGGAGGAACACCAGUGGCGAAGGCGGCUUUCUGGACUGUAACUGACACUGAGGCACGAAAGCGUGGGGAGCAAACAGGAUUAGAAACCCUGGUAGUCC